CCCUCUAGCGACUCUCAGCAACCCCCCAGUUGUGGUUUCCUAAACCAUGCGCGCAGGUUCGAUUCCUGCCGGGGGGACCA
rnacentral:tRNA from 1 species